rnacentral:rRNA from 1 species
ACGGAGGAUGCAAGCGUUAUCCGGAUUCAUUGGGUUUAAAGGGUGCGCAGGCGGAAUGCUAAGUCAGUGGUGAAAUCUCCCGGCUUAACCGUGGAACUGCCAUGGAUACUGUCAUUCUUGAGUACAGUUGAAGUGGACGGAAUGUGUCAUGUAGCGGUGAAAUGCUUAGAUAUGACACAGAACACCGAUAGCGAAGGCAACUUACUAAGAUAUUAUUGACGCUCAUGUGCGAAAGCGUGGGGAUCAAACAG